rnacentral:rRNA from 1 species
CACGUAGUUAGCCGCAGCUUCUUCUGCAGGUACCGUCAUCAUCGUCCCUGCUGAAAGAGCUUUACACCCCGAAGGGCUUCAUCGCUCACGCGGCGUCGCUGCAUCAGGGUUGCCCCCAUUGUGCAAGAUUCCCCACUGCUGCCUCCCGUAGGAGUCUGGCCCGUGUUUCAGUGCCAGUGUGGCCGUGUGCCCUCUCAGGCCGGCUACCGAUCUCAGCCUUGGUGAGCCUUUACCCCACCAACAAGCUAAUCAGCCGCGGGCUCCUCUCUCGGCGACUUUCGCCUUUCCCUUACAGGCUUAUGCGGUAUUAGCUCCGGUUUCCCAGAGUUAUUCCCCACCCAGAGGUAGAUUACCCACGUGUUACUCACCCGUGCGCCACUUUACUCAGGGAUUGCUCCCCUUUCUCGUUCGACUUGCAUGUGUUAAGCGCGCCGCCAGCGUUGAUUCUGAGCCAGGAUCAAACUCU